GCAUGGCUGUCGUCAGCUCGUGUCGUGAGAUGUUGGGUUAAGUCCCGCAACGAGCGCAACCCUCAUCCUUAGUUACCAUCAGGUAAUGCUGGGGACUUUAAGGAAACUGCCAGUGAUAAACUGGAGGAAGGUGGGGAUGAUGUCAAGUCAUCAUGGCCCUUAUGGAGUGGGCUACACACGUGCUACAAUGGUGGCUACAAUGGGCUGCAAAGUCGCGAGGCUAAGCUAAUCCCUUAAAAGCCAUCUCAGUUCGGAUUGUACUCUGCAACUCGAGUACAUGAAGUUGGAAUCGCUAGUAAUCGUGGAUCAGCAUGCCACGGUGAAUACGUUCUCGGGUCUUGUACACACUGCCCGUCACGCCAUGGGAAUUGGUUUCACUCGAAGCUAACGACCUAACCGCAAGGAGGGAGUUAUUUAAAGUGGGAUCGGUGACUGGGGUGAAGUCGUAACAAGGUAGCCGUAGAAUCACUAGUGAAUUCGCGGCCGCCUGCAGGUCGACCAUAUGGGAGAGCUCCCAACGCGUG
rnacentral:rRNA from 1 species